GCCCAGUUCAAAAUUCAGCCCCAUAUAUAAGCUUAAAAAAAAAAAAAACACUCGAAAACAAUUCAUUUACGCAUACAGCAAGAACAAAUAGAAGCAGGGACACGGAACAAAGGGAAUCGUGUUCGUGCAUUGAAGAACAAGAGUUGGUGACUAGGUUUUCGAGAAAUGGAAGAUUCAGAAAAGAGAAGGCACCGUGAGAGAAGAGAUAGGGAUAGGGAUAGGGAUCGAGAACGGCGUCGUUCCGAGAGGGAGAAGAGCAGCGAUUCCGAUAGAGAAAAGGAGAGGGAAAAAGAAAAGCAUCGAGAUAGGGGAAGGGAAAGGAAAGAUAGGGAACGAGAGAAGGAAAAGGAGAGGGAAAGAGCUAGGGAGAAGGAAAGGGAAAGGGAAAAGCGUGAAAGGGAAAGGGAAAGGGAAAGGGAAAGAGAAAGGGAGAAGAGGGAAAGAGAAAGAGAAAGAGAAAGGGAAAGGGAAAAAGAGAGGGAGAGGGAAAAGAAGGCGAGGGAAAAGGAGAAGAGGAGGGAAUAUAAUAGUGAUGAUAGCAAGGAGGAGAAGGAACGGCAUAGAAAGCGGCGAAGGAGGGAACGGGAUGACGAAGAUGACGGUAACGAUGAUUAUAAGGAGAGGGAGAGUAAAUCGAAUAGGGGAGAGAGUCCUGUUAGGAAAAAGAGCGGUGAAGAUGAGUUGGAGAAGAAAGGGAAGAAAAGUAGGGAAGAAGAAAUGGAAGAUGAGCAGCGUAAAUUGGAUGAGGAGAUGGAGAAAAGGAGGAGGAGGGUUCAAGAAUGGCAGGAGUUGAGGAGGAAGAAGGAAGAAAUGGAGAGGGAGAAACGUGGGGAAGGGAAUGCGGUUGAAGAGGAGGAGGCUAAGGUUGGUAAAGCUUGGACUCUUGAAGGGGAAUCGGAUGAUGAUGAAGCGGCUUCUCCAAUGAAUGCGGAGACGAGUAUGGAUGUUGAUGAUAAUGAGAAUGCUAAGCCUGAUGGUAAGGAAACUGGAGAUGCAAUGCUUGAAGGUGGGAAUUCUGAGGAUGGAAAAGAUAAAAUGGUUGUUGACCAAAAUGGGGAGAAUGGGGUUGCUGAGAAUGAUGAUGAAAUUGACCCAUUAGACGCAUUUAUGAAUUCAAUGGUGUUACCUGAAGUUGAGAAGCUAAGUAAUGCAGUUGUUGAUCCUCCUCCUAGUGAUAACAAUGGAAACCUGAAGACUGAUAAAAAAGAUGGCUUGAGUAAUGGUGGACAGCAGCAGCCGAAGAAAGGUUCGAACAAGGCACUUGGGAGAAUCAUUCCCGGCGAAGAUUCGGAUUCGGAUUACGGGGAUGUUGAGAAUGAUGAAGAGAAUUUAGAAGAUGAAGACGAUGAUGAGUUCAUGAAAAGGGUAAAGAAGACAAAAGCUGAAAAACUAUCGAUUGUAGACCAUUCAAAGAUCGAUUAUAAACCAUUCAGGAAAAAUUUCUAUAUUGAAGUUAAGGAGAUAUCUAGAAUGACACCUGAGGAAGUGUCUGCUUAUAGGAAGGAAUUGGAAUUGAAGUUACAUGGAAAGGAUGUGCCGAAACCAAUCAAAACCUGGCAUCAAACUGGACUCACAAGUAAAAUAUUAGAGACAAUAAGGAAGCUAAAUUAUGAGAAGCCAAUGCCAAUUCAAGCUCAGGCACUGCCUGUAAUCAUGAGUGGUCGAGACUGCAUUGGUAUAGCAAAAACUGGCUCUGGUAAAACCCUUGCUUUUGUGUUACCUAUGUUAAGGCAUAUUAAAGAUCAGCCACCUGUAGUAGCUGGAGAUGGGCCUAUUGGACUCAUUAUGGCACCCACAAGGGAGCUUGUACAGCAGAUUCAUAGUGACAUAAAGAAGUUCACCAAGGUAAUGGGAAUCAGAUGUGUUCCUGUCUAUGGAGGUUCUGGUGUUGCCCAGCAGAUUAGUGAAUUAAAAAGGGGAACAGAGAUUGUUGUAUGUACUCCAGGUAGGAUGAUUGAUAUACUUUGUACCAGUGGGGGAAAAAUUAGUAAUCUUCGUAGAGUGACAUACUUGGUUCUGGAUGAAGCUGACAGAAUGUUUGAUAUGGGUUUUGAACCUCAAAUCACUCGAAUUGUUCAAAAUAUUCGACCCGAUCGCCAAACUGUACUAUUUUCUGCUACUUUCCCUCGCCAGGUUGAGAUUUUGGCACGGAAAGUGUUGAAUAAACCUGUUGAAAUACAGGUUGGUGGGAGAAGUGUUGUGAACAAGGACAUAACCCAGUUGGUUGAGAUGAGGCCAGAAAGUGAAAGGUUCCUAAGAUUGUUAGAACUUCUAGGUGAAUGGUAUGAGAAGGGGAAAAUUCUGAUUUUUGUCCACACUCAAGAAAAGUGUGAUGCUUUGUUCAGGGAUUUGCUCAAACAUGGUUACCCUUGUCUGUCACUUCAUGGGGCCAAGGAUCAGACUGAUCGGGAGUCCACCAUUUCUGAUUUUAAGAGCAAUGUUUGCAAUUUGUUGAUUGCAACAAGUGUUGCAGCUAGGGGUUUAGAUGUAAAGGAGCUUGAAUUAGUGAUUAAUUUUGAUGUCCCAAAUCAUUAUGAAGAUUAUGUUCACCGUGUUGGUAGGACUGGUAGAGCUGGGCGGAAAGGCUGUGCUAUCACAUUUAUCUCUGAGGAUGAUGCAAGAUAUGCACCGGAUCUCGUAAAAGCUUUAGAACUCUCUGAGCAAGUUGUUCCUGAUGACCUGAAAGCUCUCGCAGAUGGCUUUAUGGCAAAAGUCAAUCAGGGACUUGAGCAGGCUCAUGGAACAGGUUAUGGUGGAAGUGGUUUUAAAUUCAAUGAAGAGGAGGAUGAAAAGAGAAAAGCAGCAAAGAAAGCACAAGCAAAAGAAUAUGGGUUUGAGGAAGACAAAUCAGACUCGGAAGAUGAAGAUGAAGGGGUGCGGAAGGCAGGUGGUGACAUCUCACAGCAGACAGCACUUGCUCAGAUAGCUGCCAUGGCUGCUGCCUCCAAAGCUAGUACUGCUUUGAUGCAGAAUCCUCUAUCAUCUGGCCAACUGCUUCCCAAUGCUGUAUUGCCUAUUUCUCUUCCUGGUGUACUUGGUGUCUCAAUGCCUGGGACUGCAGCAGUUGUUCCUGGUAGUGGGCUGUCUGGUCUUCCAAAUGAAGAGGCUGCUCGAAAAGCUGCACUGCAAGCUGCUCUCAAUUUACAGCAUAACCUAGCAAAGAUUCAAGCCGAUGUUAUGCCUGAACAUUAUGAAGCUGAGUUGGAGAUUAAUGAAUUCCCACAAAAUGCUCGAUGGAAGGUUACCCACAAGGAAACUUUGGGCCCAAUAUCGGAAUGGACUGGAGCUGCUAUUACUACAAGGGGCCAGUAUUUCCCACCUGGUCGGAUCCCAGGACCAGGAGAACGCAAGCUUUACUUGUUCAUUGAAGGACCUACUGAGUUAUCUGUUAAGAGAGCUAAGGCAGAACUGAAACGUGUGCUGGAAGACAUCUCACACCAGUCCUUGCAACUUCCUGGUGGGACUCAACCCGGCAGAUACCAAGUUUUGUAGAUAUUGUUGGAUUUGUGGUUGGACUUGUCACUCAGACCCAAAAGUCAAUCUUCAUGAUGGCGUUCCUCUUCGUGUGAUUCAAGACUCGCAUCCUCUUCGGGAUGCUUGGUGUAAUCCCCUGUCAAUCAAGUGACAGCUUAUGACCUCCAUAAAGAUUAUAUCCAUUACUAGCUCUCAUCUUCAUUAUGGGAGGAACUUUCGCAAAAGUCUGAGGACUGGAGAUGUAAGCCUAUUAUUUUCAGAUUUUUGGAGCACGUUGUUUCGGGUUUUGUGCAUUCUGAUGCAUUGCCUCGGUCAACCUGACCCCGGAUUCACUAGUCCUUUAGUCAGUUUUAUAUGGAUGGUGGUUUGAAUCCUGCUUCUGAGUGCUUGCUCGAGAAAUUGGUGUUAACUGAAAGUCAAAUCAUGGAACAAGAUGCUUUAGUUCCAGAACCAUAUGAUAUGAAUUGAUGAAGUUUCUUUUCUUUUAUGGUCAAAAAGUAUUCGAUGAUGUUCCUAUACUAUUAAAUUACUCUUUUGAUGAGGAAGAUGAUGUAUUUUUUUUUCUUUUUUCAUGUCUUAGGUGUUACUGAUAACAUUUUGCUCCGUAAUGCGAACUUCCAUGCUAUAUCUCAAGAGGAUCAAUCUGAGAUUGCAUUUUGGUUUA